AACGAACGCUGGCGGCAUGCCUAACACAUGCAAGUCGAACGAAGGCUUCGGCCUUAGUGGCGCACGGGUGCGUAACGCGUGGGAACCUGCCCCUCGGUUCGGAAUAACAGUUAGAAAUGACUGCUAAUACCGGAUGAUGACUUCGGUCCAAAGAUUUAUCGCCGAGGGAUGGGCCCGCGUAGGAUUAGCUAGUUGGUGGGGUAAAGGCCUACCAAGGCGACGAUCCUUAGCUGGUCUGAGAGGAUGAUCAGCCACACUGGGACUGAGACACGGCCCAGACUCCUAUGGGAGGCAGCAGUGGGGAAUAUUGGACAAUGGGCGAAAGCCUGAUCCAGCAAUGCCGCGUGAGUGAUGAAGGCCUUAGGGUUGUAAAGCUCUUUUACCAGGGAUGAUAAUGACAGUACCUGGAGAAUAAGCUCCGGCUAACUCCGUG
rnacentral:rRNA from 1 species